GUGGGGAAUAUUGGACAAUGGGCGAAAGCCUGAUCCAGCCAUGCCGCGUGUGUGAAGAAGGUCUUCGGAUUGUAAAGCACUUUAAGUUGGGAGGAAGGGCAGUAAGUUAAUACCUUGCUGUUUUGACGUUACCGACAGAAUAAGCACCGGCUAACUUCGUGCCAGCAGCCGCGGUAAUACGAAGGGUGCAAGCGUUAAUCGGAAUUACUGGGCGUAAAGCGCGCGUAGGUGGUUUUGUAAGUUGGAGGUGAAAUCCCCGGGCUCAACCUGGGAACUGCCUCCAAAACUGCAUGACUAGAGUACGGUAGAGGGUAGUGGAAUUUCAUGUGUAGCGGUGAAAUGCGUAGAUAUAGGAAGGAACACCAGUGGCGAAGGCGACUACCUGGACUGAUACUGACACUGAGGUGCGAAAGCGUGGGGAGCAAACAGGAUUAGAUACCCGGGUAGUCC
rnacentral:rRNA from 1 species